rnacentral:ncRNA from 1 species
CUUCGAUAAUGGCAAACUCAGCGAAAGUUGGGGACGCAAAGCCACGGGCCUAAUGAGAAUUUCUUUAUGGUAGCCGGGUUACCGAA